rnacentral:ncRNA from 2 species
AAAUAUCGUUUGGAAAUAGGUGCUAGAUAAAAGAGCUAUUCUUUUAUCGGCUUAAAAGGGAAGUCGGUUGGAAUCCGACACGGACCCGCCACUGUGAGGGAGAUGAGUCAUAAAGACAAAUUAUCUUCAAUAAUGCCACUGGGAUUUCACCUGGGAAGGCUAGAAGAUACUGUCCCCAAGUCAGGAGACCUGCCUAUUUUAACAUCGCUGU